GGGAUGUACGACAAGCAGAAGCUAUAUCAUACUUCAAAGAGGAUUAAUGUUAACAGCGUCGUAGUGUAAGAUUAGAUUCAAGUUCGCGUGUUUUGGUGAUAAUGGGCUGCCUUGAGACACUUCUCAUUUUCCAAAUWAUAUCAUUCACUGCUAUAGCAACGGGUCAGAAAGCUUKUUCAGUUGGGGCAAGCUUUGAGCGUGAUGUGAACUUAAGAGUUCGCUGCGGAAUCUUCCAGACUGUCGCCCUCAAUCACUUUGGUUGUCAAAGAAAAUGCGUUGCCUCUUUACAGUGCUUUUCUACAAAUACCUACAAAGACGAUAGCGGGAGCGAGGUCUGUGAAUUGAUAAACGGAACCAAGACGUCUUUCGAMAAUAGUUACUGCCUGGAGAAAAGAGAUGGAGCCAUUCACAGCGAAUUAACGUUAGUCAAAAGCAAGACAAGAAAAGG